CACGGCGCGAUUAUGAGAGGUAC
rnacentral:siRNA from 1 species